UGGGGAAUAUUGGACAAUGGAGGAAAUUCUGAUCCAGCAAUUCUGUGUGUGUGAAGAAGGUUUUAGGACUGUAAAACACUUUUAGUAGGGAAGAAAAAAAUGACGGUACCUACAGAAGAAGCAACGGCUAAAUACGUGCCAGCAGCCGCGGUAAUACGUAUGUUGCGAGCGUUAUCCGGAAUUAUUGGGCUUAAAGGGCAUCUAGGCGGUAAGACAAGUUGAAGGUGAAAACCUGUGGCUCAACCAUAGGCUUGCCUACAAAACUGUUGAACUAGAGUACUGGAAAGGUGGGUGGAACUACACGAGUAGAGGUGAAAUUCGUAGAUAUGUGUAGGAAUGCCGAUGAUGAAGAUAACUCACUGGACAGAAACUGACGCUGAAGUGCGAAAGCUAGGGGAGCAAACAGG
rnacentral:rRNA from 1 species